rnacentral:rRNA from 1 species
GACAGAGGGUGCAAACGUUGUUCGGAAUUACUGGGCGUAAAGCGCGUGUAGGCGGCCCUGCAAGUCGGGUGUGAAAUCCCAUGGCUCAACUAUGGAAGUACACUCGAAACUGCAGGGCUAGAGUCCUGGAGAGGAAGGUGGAAUGCUUGGUGUAGAGGUGAAAUUCGUAGAUAUCAAGCGGAACACCGGUGGCGAAGGCGGCCUUCUGGACAGUGACUGACGCUGAGACGCGAAAGCGUGGGGAGCGAACAGG